CCUGGCACAAUACUGACGCUCAGGUGCGAAAGCGUGGGGAGCAAACAGGUUUAGAUACCCUGGUAGUCCACGCCGUAAACGAUGUCUACUAGCUGUUCGUGGUCUUGUACUGUGAGUAGCGCAGCUAACGCACUAAGUAGACCGCCUGGGGAGUACGGUCGCAAGAUUAAAACUCAAAUGAAUUGACGGGGGCCCGCACAAGCGGUGGAGCAUGUGGUUUAAUUCGACGCAACGCGAAGAACCUUACCUACUCUUGACAUCUAGCGAAGAUUGCAGAGAUGCAGUUGUGCCUUCGGGAACGCUAAGACAGGUGCUGCAUGGCUGUCGUCAGCUCGUGUUGUGAAAUGUUGGGUUAAGUCCCGCAACGAGCGCAACCCUUAUCCUUAGUUGCCAGCACGUAAUGGUGGGAACUCUAGGGAGACUGCCGGUGAUAAACCGGAGGAAGGUGGGGACGACGUCAAGUCAUCAUGGCCCUUACGAGUAGGGCUACACACGUGCUACAAUGGUACGUACAGAGGGAGGCAAGCUGGCGACAGUGAGCGGAUCUCUUAAAGCGUAUCGUAGUCCGGAUCGCAGUCUGCAACUCGACUGCGUGAAGUCGGAAUCGCUAGUAAUCGCAAAUCAGAAUGUUGCGGUGAAUACGUUCCCGGGCCUUGUACACACCGCCCGUCACACCAUGGGAGUGGGUUGCAAAAGAAGUAGGUAGCUUAACCCUUCGGGAGGGCGCUUACCACUUUGUGAUUCAUGACUGGGGUGAAGUCGUAAC
rnacentral:rRNA from 1 species